GUCAACACAAUAAUACACAGUGAGAGCUUCGCAAAACUACCACCUCUGGUCAUCAAAGUUAUUCAAAAACAGGGAAGAAUCAUUUCAAAAUCUACGGUGGUGCAAGGAAACGCAUUGAACACAAGGUAGAGUUAAUAAUGCAGCCAGGUUUUAAAAUCUUAUGAAGUGCAGUAACUAAAACACCUCAAGAACCAGGCUCGCACAAGAGUUGGGUACUUGCCAGCACUCAUUGUUAUUUUUAUUUUAUUUUCUUAAAAAAGGUUAAUCAUUCAGAACAAUAGAUCAGAAAGAUGACAAUAUGUAUAAGUAGAUCUCUGCAGAUUUGUAGAAGAAUGUAUACACAUUUCAACUCUUAGGGACCCAAAAGCUAAAUUAUCUGAGUGGAAAUAAAGACACACUGACUAAUUCAAAACCAAUAGCUUAGUACAAGUGUAAAUACAUUUACCAUUAAGUAAAAAUAAAAGAGCUACAAAAAAUAGCUAGAGGUCAAUCUUGUUUAGAAUGCAAGGUAAUAAGGAAAUGCCCUCAACGAUGAAUCAGAGUACUGAAAUAACACCCUUAAAGUCACCCAUUUCACUUAAAUUUUUGAUGUCGGUGGAUCCCAAGACAGCAAUCCUGGAGGGCUAGGAUUACUACCAAAGUUGCUUCAAAGUUCCAUUCUAGGACCUCACUGUAAGCAGGUUGUUCCAUACAAUCAAUUCUAUCAUCAUAAUAAAGGUAAACCCACCUCUUCAAGAACAAAGUGUCCAUUGGGAACGUUGGUCUUACUACAGUAUGCAGUACAAAACAUGAAUUAAUAUGGAAUAAAAAAAUAUGAUCCAAGGAUUAAAGACUUCCAUCAUAUCCCUUCACAACUUGUACUCCGAUUCACCAAAACAGCUAAUCUAGCCAAAGUUGAGUGAAAAAUGAAGGCAUACCCAAUUCCAUUAAGCUACAACUAUAUCCACCAAAUAUAUUGUAUCACAAGCAUGGGUUAUUGUAUGCCCUUUUAGAUUGAUCUACAGCUUCCUCGAUCAUUAUGUUAUGCCAUUUGCUUUGCUUCCACAAAUCGAGUCAGCUUUCAAUGGAGUAUUACAAUAUUGACAGUUCCUCAAAAGCCACCACUUUGUUAGAUUAUCAUCACAAUCAAAUUGAACCACUGACCAAUUUCACCUCUCAUACAGCAUUCAUGAACAAUUACAUCAAUAAAAAAUUAACCCAAUAAACACUCCUGACAGUGACUUGAACCAUGACUAGUUGAAAAUAAGAAGCGAAAAAUGAGCAGCAAACAGAAACUACAUGUGAUUGACUUAUGAACACUACUCGCACUCACGAAUUAUACAUCAUCACCAUAUCAAUGUAUGCCACAAAAUAAUGUUUCUCGGCAUCAGGCAGUCUGCAAGCAAAGGUUUACAAGCAGGCAGACAACACGAGGCUCACAACAGCAAUGCUUAACCUUGCCAUUCCAUUACCCACAUGAACCAUGCUGUGCCCACACUUCACGAGUGUAUAUCACAGCAUACCAUCAGUCUGCCAACACCAGUAGUUCUGAGCAUUAACCAUCAUACACAUAUUCCAUAUGCGCAGACCAACCUCUGCAUAGGAAUCUAUAUAUCCAUUAUUUGCUCUACAAGUUCACUGUUUUCAUUAUUUCCAUUUUCUGAAAAUCCAUAUCUAGAGAAGAGAGAAGGGAGGAGGGGAGGGAGGGAGGGAGAGAGAGAGAGAGUGGUUAACUUCUUGAAAAAGGACUCGACGAUUCAAAAUAUAAUUCAAGAUCCAAACCCUUGAACAUGAUCUCACUACAACAAAAAAGCCUAGAAACUGAAAUUUUUACAUGUUAUUGGUUUCUAAUCCAAUAAUGAUGUAGGCAUUAAAAUGGACAGUUUUACUAGCACGAUCCUAUAUUUUACUAUGAUCUAAUCAUUAAAAUCUAGCAAAUUUAAAGCUACUCAUGUUUUAAGAUGUAUAGAUUAUGAUCCAUGAAGUGGAUCUUCAAUCUAUAUGCCAUAUCGUGUAUUUUACCAUACUAAUACAAUUAAUACCAUUCAUUUUUGUACCAACUUGAUGUAUACAUUAAAGACCAAAAAGAAAUCAUUUUGGUUUCACGGCAUUUUUUGUAGUGCAAAUGAUGUUAGAUGGUUUGAAUCUUCAAUUUGGAUAGCCUAUCAUUGAUUUUAACAUCGUUAAUCCCUUUUCCAUGAGUUAGCAUAAAGUGUGCAGUCCAACAUUUAGGCAUACAUACAUAUAUAUCAGGAGACUUGCAGGCCAACAUGUUAAAACUUGAAUAAACAUACUAACAACUUUUUCCAGAAUUUACAGAAGAGCCCAAAUAAUAAAAGAUGAACUUAUGUAACAUUCCCUAUAACGCAGCUGUUGCACCACAUGAGGUUGUAUUUGCAUAUAUAAAAGAAGAUCAAUGUAGUUUCUAGAUGGAGAACCUGAUUCCCUUCCCUAGUCGAGUAUAUGGGGCUUUGUAUAAAUAUCGAAGGAACUAGUAUCGUCAACUAAUUCUACACAUACAUUACCAAUGUUUUAAAUUUCAGUUUAUAGGGCCCAUAUGGAGAAGCAACUCCUACACUAAGACAUUUUGAGAUCGCAGCCACACACAGCUGAUCCAAUUCGUGUGGCUGCACGCAUUCAAUACAUGGAAGGCACGGAUUGUGAAGCAUCUCAAAAAUGCUUCCUUGACUCGUUUCUUUGCUUUUCAUUCUGCCUCAUAGCCUUUACCCUUUCCUUUUCCAAUUCCAUUCUCUCAACUACCAUACGAAAUGCCAGCAAUCACCUUCUUUAGAAUGUCAUGAGUUCUCAAAAACUAAAGUUUUAAUGAUAAACUCUAACCAAAAUGGAUUAUGGUUUCUUCAGAGAGGACAAUGAAGAAUACGAAGAAGCCACAAAAAUACCAUUGCACAGAAUCUAGAGUGGUAGCUCGCGCUCAUGUAGAUAUCAAAGGAUACAUUCCCAGCACAAGGGAGCCCAUACAACUGUUCACAUCUGACAAAAGAAUCCUAACAUUGCACCUUCCACUUUGGGAGGAGGAUGAGUGCAAUGCAGCGGCGGUGUCACCAGUACCAUUGACCAACACCGAUGUAAACAAUGAUGAACAACGUUGGAGGACGCCCUUCUCUUUUUCCUAUCAGAGUUGCAACUUUGUUUGAUGGUUUCCUUAACAUUUUGCAUAAUAAUGUGCAACAAAGAACCAGAAGAAACAGAGUUACGAUACUUUUUGAUCAUUGUCUCACUUCCACACUUCCAACAUUGAGAGUGCACAGCCACGCAUUGGAUCAGCUGUGCCCAACCGAGAACUCAAGAUGUGUUCCUGGACUAGACAGCACAAGCCAUAUGCUGUCCCUUUAUGCAGUGGGUCACAUAUGGACUGCAUAAUCAAUCAGCAUGCGUCCAGGCAGCUGCAUAUAUAGUCCAGAUUUAAACAGGCUGAGUUCCUUAUGCAAUAACCUCAGUGCCCUCAAACCGCUUCCAUUUCUAAAACAAUGGGCAUUGCAUUGGACUAUCACCUUGCUAGGUUAGAAUACUAUGGACAUGAUUAGUAUCCAUUUAAGCCUUAAUGACAUAAUAGGAAAGUCCUUGAUUGAGUACAUGCCAUGCAUUCACCUCUUUAUGGGAGUUCUCAGUGACACCUGAUAAAAGAUCAUGAGCCAUCAAUAGAAGAACAAACAAUGUUUGAUUGAAACAAAUAUUUCAUUAGUUAAGUUUUGCUUUGGGCCCAACAUGUUUUGGAA